rnacentral:rRNA from 1 species
UGGGGAAUAUUGCACAAUGGGCGCAAGCCUGAUGCAGCCAUGCCGCGUGUAUGAAGAAGGCCUUCGGGUUGUAAAGUACUUUCAGCGGGGAGGAAGGGAGUAAAGUUAAUACCUUUGCUCAUUGACGUUACCCGCAGAAGAAGCACCGGCUAACUCCGUGCCAGCAGCCGCGGUAAUACGGAGGGUGCAAGCGUUAAUCGGAAUUACUGGGCGUAAAGCGCACGCAGGCGGUUUGUUAAGUCAGAUGUGAAAUCCUCGGGCUCAACCUGGGAACUGCAUCUGAUACUGGCAAGCUUGAGUCUCGUAGAGGGGGGUAGAAUUCCAGGUGUAGCGGUGAAAUGCGUAGAGAUCUGGAGGAAUACCGGUGGCGAAGGUGGCCCCCUGGACGAAGACUGACGCUCAGGUGCGAAAGCGUGGGGAGCAAACAGG